AUCGGGGUAGUGUAGUGGUUAUCACUGGGCACUCUCCAUGCCUAAACCGGGGUUCGAUUCCCCGUCCCGAUG
rfam:Candida tropicalis MYA-3404 genomic scaffold supercont3.2, whole genome shotgun sequence.